UGGAGAAGCAGCCGGAACCUCCACAACUGCUCGUUCUCCAUUUUGAAAAGGUUGCCUCAUCACAGAUGCUCUUGAUGUGGCCCAUACGUAGAAUCCCACUGCUCCGUGUUUCCCAGUUAGCGUUGAUCUGCUCACAUGGAGGCAGAGGGAGGAGGUCAGGCCGGUGGUUUGGUGUCUUGAAUGUCAGCAGCAGAGAAGUCGGGCUAUUUAAAGCGAAGGCACAUGGUGACGGAGCAUUCGGGUUCGUCGGCGGGAGCCAGAGUUCAACGCAGAAGAACAACAACAACCGUGUCAUCCUGUGAGAUCAGAGCAGCCGAGGAGAGGAAGCAGGUGCCAUCCUAAACAACAUGGCUGCCUCCACACUGCCUGGGUCAACAACACACGUUUCCUGUGUUUGAACGUUUCUAUGUUUCAGACACAGACGCCACACGGACACAUCGGACACUGACCCGGAGUUUGGUGGUUGUCGUGAAAACUAAAAUAAUCGAUACAAGUAUUUGUUAGCAAAGAAAUGAAGGAAAUCCAAGAAAGGAUCAUUAUUUCUUUUUUAUUCAAACAGGUGCAGGGUCAGAGGAUGUGGAGGUUUUGGCUUUAAAAGCUGAUUAAUGAUAGUAGCUUGACUUUCAUUCGUCCAGACUGAAAUAUUGACAGUUGGAAGGAUGACCAUGAAAUAAACGUGAAAUCUCCAUCGUUUCCCAUCCUGAUUAAAAAGUACGUAAUCUAACACCCCCAUGAGUUAAGUAGGUUCAGCUUCACUACUCUGCUCUGUAGUGAUCGUGGUAAAGAUCCGUGAAUAUCACAGAUACACACGCUCGACCAAUCACGUGUCAGUCUCAGCCAACCCUGACUUUUCAUCCUGUUUUUAUGCCUGAAAACACUAAUUCAAACCUGCUCUGAGCUGAGUUUCAUAGCUUUCACACAUGAACUCCAGAUUGGGUGCAGACUUUGCCUUUGACAUGUGAAGACACAUUCACCACAAGGGGAAGAUGUCCGGAGCGUCAAGGUCCUCACCCACAGUCCAAUUUGUGGAAAAGAUCUGCAGCAACCGACUGUGACGUCUGCGUCGUAAACAGGAAAAUGUCCGGACUUCAGUUCAUGUGAGGAAGCAGCUUUACAGACUUGCUGGUGAACAAAGUGGAGACUCAGAAACCGAGGAGCCGGAUAUUCUUCUCAGGAGUCGGUGGAGAACCAAUCAGAGGGAGAAUGAGCCUGAACGUUGAAAUGGCUCCAUGGUGUUAAUAAUAAAGAAAAUAAGUUAUAAGAUCGAUGGAGUUUGUUUUCAUAGUUUUAUUCUAGUGAUCAACUUUUACUAUUCCAAUAUCCAGUAGAGACACAGCAGCAUGACAAGCAGACUCGAACAUAUCAGUCUCUUUUAUUUACCUGAUAUUUGUUUCCAUCAGGAUCCGUGAAUUAAAGUCCCUAACUCACCAAGU